UGGCGGACGGGUGAGUAACGCGUGGGUAACCUGCCUUAUACUGGGGGAUAACAGCCAGAAAUGACUGCUAAUACCGCAUAAGCGCACAGAACCGCAUGGUUCGGUGUGAAAAACUCCGGUGGUAUAAGAUGGACCCGCGUUGGAUUAGCUAGUUGGUAGGGCAGCGGCCUACCAAGGCGACGAUCCAUAGCCGGCCUGAGAGGGUGAACGGCCACAUUGGGACUGAGACACGGCCCAGACUCCUACGGGAGGCAGCAUG
rnacentral:rRNA from 1 species